AGUGAACGCUGGCGGUAGGCCUAACACAUGCAAGUCGAACGGCAGCACAGUAAGAGCUUGCUCUUACGGGUGGCGAGUGGCGGACGGGUGAGGAAUACAUCGGAAUCUACUUUUUCGUGGGGGAUAACGUAGGGAAACUUACGCUAAUACCGCAUACGACCUACGGGUGAAAGCAGGGGAUCUUCGGACCUUGCGCGAUUGAAUGAGCCGAUGUCGGAUUAGCUAGUUGGCGGGGUAAAGGCCCACCAAGGCGACGAUCCGUAGCUGGUCUGAGAGGAUGAUCAGCCACACUGGAACUGAGGCACGGUCCAGACUCCUACGGUAGGCACCAGUGGGGAAUAUUGGACAAUGGGCGCAAUCCUGAUCCAGUCAUACCGCGUGGGUGAAGAAGGCCUUCGGGUUGUAAAGCCCUUUUGUGGGGAAAGAAAAGCAGCAGGUUAAUACCCCGCUGUUCUGACGGUACCCAAAGAAUAAGCACCGGCUAACUUCGUG
rnacentral:rRNA from 1 species